rnacentral:lncRNA from 1 species
CGGGGACGGGGCCGGGGCCGGGGCCGGGGAUGCCAAAACUGGGGCCGGAGCCGGUGAUGGGGACGGUGAUGGGGCCGGUGAUGGGGACAGAAACGGGGCCAGUGAUGCCAAAACUGGUGCCAGAACCGGUGCCGGAGCCGGUAACGGGGACGGUGAUGCCAGAUCCGGUACUGGUGAUGCUGGUGCCGGUGCUGGAGCCGGUACCGGUGAUGGGGACGGUGCCGGUGAUGCCAGAUCCGGUGCUGGUGAUGGGGACAGUGAUGCCAGAGCCGGUACCGGUGAUGCCAGUGCCAGUGCUGGAGCCAGUACCGGUGAUGAUGGAGCCGGUGCCGGUGAUGGGGACGGUGGUGCCAAAUCCAGUGCUGGUGCUAGAUCCGGUGAUGCUGGAGCUGGUGGCGGUGCUGGAGCUACUAACGGGGCCGGUGAUGCCAGAGCUGGUGGUGGAGGCGGUAACGGGCCCGGUGAUGCCCAAACUGGUGUUGGUGCUGGAGCCGGUGAUGCCAGAGCUGGUGCUGGUGUUAGUGCUGGUGACGGAGCUGGUGCCGGAGCCGGUAACGGGGAUGGUGAUGCCAGAACCGGUGCUGGAGCCUGUGAUGGAGCCGGUAACGGGGAUGGUGAUGCUAGAACUGGUACCGGAGCUGGUGAUGGAGCCGGUGACGGAGCUGGUACCAGGGCCGGUGAUGCCCAAACUGGUGCUAACGGGGCCGGUGAUGCCAGAACUGGUGCUAAUGGGGAUGGUGAUGCCAGAACCAUUGCCAGAACCGUUGCUAGAGCCGGUAACGGGGAUGGUGAUGCCAGAACCAUUGCUGGAGGCGCUGAUGGAGCCGGUACUGGGGCCGGUGAUGCCAGAACUGGUGCUAACGGGGAUGGUGAUGCCAGAACUGAUGCCAGAACUGAUGCUGGAGCCGGUGAUGGAGCCGGUGACAGAGCCGGUGAUGCCAGAACUGGUGCUGGAGCUGGUAACGGGGCCGGUGAUGCCAGAACUGUUGCUGGAGCCGAUACCGGGGCCGGUGAUGUCAGAACCGUUGCCAGAACCGAUGAUGGAGCCGGUGCCGGAGCCGGUACCGGGGCCGGUGAUGCCAGAACCGUUACCGGCCCCACCGCCGGCCCCAUCACCACCAUCCCCAUCGCCAUCACCACCAUCCUCACCGAAGCCUUCGUCAUCCCCGUCCCCACACCCGCACCCGCAGCGGCACCGGCAGCCCCCCCGUCGCCGCAGCUUCUCCAGGAGCUGCCGUUUCUCCUCCUGCAGCCGUUGGAGGUGGCGCCGCAGCCCCGGCAGCUCCCGGGCCUCCUCCUCCAGCUCCCGCAGCCGGCCUAGCGCCGCCGCCAUCUGCUCCCGCACCAACCGCAGCGGCACCGGGCCCGGAGAACCCCCCGGGGGCACCCCCGGGGACAGCGGGACCCCUGGUGGCCCCCCCAGUGACGUUGGUGGCCCCCCCGGUAACGGUGGUGGCCCCCCCGGUGACGUUGGUGGCACCCCCGGUGAUGGCGGCACCCCCGGUGAUGAUGGUGGUGGUAGGCCCCACGAUGAUGAUGAUGGC